UUGUCUUUCUCUGGGCCGUUCGUAGC
rnacentral:sRNA from 1 species